GAAGUGCAUUAAAAAAAUAUACAAUGCAAGAAAUUAUAAACUAUUUUGAAAUGCAAGAAUAAAAUUGAUUAUGUAAAUAAAUAUAGACAAAUUGAAAAUGCAAAAAUAAAAAAUAAAAAUUAUGCAUGAAAUUAUAAACAUAUUUGAAAUGCAAGAAUAAAAUUGAUUAUGUAAAUAAAUAAAGCCAAUUAGGAAAUGCAAAAAUAAAAUAAACAUUGUGCAACAAAAAGAAAUAGAAUAUGCAAUAAAAAAAAGUUACAUUAAAUUGAUUAAAAUUACAAUUAAAAAUAGUUUACCUCAUCG
rnacentral:lncRNA from 1 species